AUUUGCUUCAGCAGAUCUCCUCCAUCACUGCUCCCCAUUGUCUAGAAGGCAAUUAACUGCUAUAAUUGCUCAAUAGCCAGCAAAGGCUUCUUCCUAAGGGUCUUCCCAUUCAUCAGUUCUUAACCCCAAUCGACCAUGAUUGAUAACUGUAUUUCAGCAAUCAGUUUCAAAAACUCCUCUUCUUUGAUACCGGCGGCAGUCGUCGUCCGGUGUGGAGGUCGCGGCGGCGCUGGCGUACGAGACUGGGGUGAGGGAGAGAUGGCUGGAAGAGAGAGAGAUACUGUGCGGGAGAGAGACGCACGAGGGGGUGAGGGAGGGCGGGG
rnacentral:misc_RNA from 1 species